CGCGUAGGUGGUCUUGUAAGCGGGGGAUGAAAGCCCAUGGCUCACCCAUGGAACUGUCCUUCGGACUGCAAGGCUGGAGGGCGGGAGGGGAGAAUGGAAUUCCCGGUGUAGCGGUGAAAUGCGUAGAUAUCGGGAGGAACGCCGGUGGCGAAAGCGAUUCUCUGGCCCGUCCCUGACACUGAGGCGCGAGAGUAGGGAGGCGAAAC
rnacentral:rRNA from 1 species